UACGUAGGGUGCGAGCGUUAAUCGGAAUUACUGGGCGUAAAGCGUGCGUAGGCGGUUCGCUGUGUCCGAUGUGAAAGCCCCGGGCUUAACCUGGGAACUGCGUUUGAUACGGAUGGGCUAGAGUUCGGGAGAGGAGAGUGGAAUUCCCAGUGUAGAGGUGAAAUUCGUAGAUAUUGGGAAGAACACCGGUGGCGAAGGCGGCUCUCUGGACCGAGACUGACGCUGAGGCGCGAAAGCGUGGGGAGCAAACAGG
rnacentral:rRNA from 1 species